UACAGAGGUCCCAAGCGUUGUUCGGACUCAUUGGGCGUAAAGGGUGCGUAGGUGGCAUGGUAAGUCGGGUGUGAAAUCCCGGGGCUCAACCCCGGAACUGCACUCGAUACUGCCGUGCUCGAGUACUGGAGAGGAGACUGGAAUUUACGGUGUAGCAGUGAAAUGCGUAGAUAUCGUAAGGAAGACCGGUGGCGAAGGCUAGUCUCUGGACAGUUACUGACACUGAGGCACGAAGGCCAGGGGAGCAAACGGG
rnacentral:rRNA from 1 species